rnacentral:rRNA from 1 species
AGUUCGGAUUGCAGUCUGCAACUCGACUGCAUGAAGCUGGAAUCGCUAGUAAUCGCGGAUCAGAAUGCCGCGGUGAAUACGUUCCCGGGUCUUGUACACACCGCCCGUCACACCAUGGGAGUCGGAUAUGCCCGAAGUCAGUGACCCAACCGCAAGGAGGGAGCUGCCGAAGGUGGAGCCGAUGACUGGGGUGAAGUCGUAACAAGGUAUC